rnacentral:rRNA from 1 species
GAUGAACGCUGGCGGCGUGCCUAAUACAUGCAAGUCGAGCGAACAGACGAGGAGCUUGCUCCUCUGACGUUAGCGGCGGACGGGUGAGUAACACGUGGAUAACCUACCUAUAAGACUGGGAUAACUUCGGGAAACCGGAGCUAAUACCGGAUAAUAUAUUGAACCGCAUGGUUCAAUAGUGAAAGACGGUUUUGCUGUCACUUAUAGAUGGAUCCGCGCCGCAUUAGCUAGUUGGUAAGGUAACGGCUUACCAAGGCAACGAUGCGUAGCCGACCUGAGAGGGUGAUCGGCCACACUGGAACUGAGCCACGGUCCAGACUCCUACGGGAGGCAGCAGUAGGGAAUCUUCCGCAAUGGGCGAAAGCCUGACGGAGCAACGCCGCGUGAGUGAUGAAGGUCUUCGGAUCGUAAAACUCUGUUAUUAGGGAAGAACAAAUGUGUAAGUAACUAUGCACGUCUUGACGGUACCUAAUCAGAAAGCCACGGCUAACUACGU